rnacentral:pre_miRNA from 1 species
UAUUAAAAAUUUUAUCCAUUUCUAACAGUAAUAACCAAAUAGUUACAUGACUUGUCACAUGUAUCUCAUAUUGACGUACAAUGACUAAUUUUUAAUGGUAGAUAUUGAUGAAAUUUUUAAUA